rnacentral:misc_RNA from 1 species
GAUGAAGAACGCAGCGAAAUGCGAUAAGUAAUGUGAAUUGCAGAAUUCAGUGAAUCAUCGAAUCUUUGAACGCACAUUGCGCCCUUUGGUAUUCCGAAGGGCAUGCCUGUUCGAGCGUCAUUUCACCACUCAAGCCUGGCUUGGUAUUGGGCGCCGCGGUCGAUCCGCGCGCCUCAAAGUCUCCGGCUGAGCUGUCCGUCUCUAAGCGUUGUGAUUUCAUUAAUCGCUUCGGAGUGCGGGCGGCCGCGGCCGUUAAAUCUUUCACAAGGUUGACCUCGGAUCAGGUAGGGAUACCCGCUGAACUUAAGCAUAUCAAUAAGCGGAGA